UUCAUUCAUUCUUCGCUUCCACUCAGAGGAGAUGCCGCCUCUCGGCGAAUGCAGGGUUUGGGUCCCCCGGCGGGCGCCUGGGUCCGGGCCUCGCCCCCCGGGGGGGGCCGGGGCGCCGGGGCGGUCCGCCGAAGCAACGGGAGGUAGGUUCACACGGGUUUGGGAGUUGGGAGAACUCGGUAAUGAUCCCUCCGCUGGUUCACCAACGGAGA
rnacentral:misc_RNA from 1 species